GUCCUUGUGGCACAAUGGGCCGGCGUGUCUGGCUGUUAACCAGAAGGUUGGUGGUUCAAGCCCACCAAGGGGCA